rnacentral:lncRNA from 1 species
UUAUACGCAUCGAAAUAGUUAACUUUCCAGGUCUGACAUCUACACUAUAUGACAAACAGAAAACACUCAGGCGGAAUGUAGGUCCACUAAAUAAAACUACACUUCUGGUUCUGUUAAACUUUCUUAAAAACAUUAGAAAUGCGUGAACUGCGUUUAAAGGAAAAAGAGCACCAACACGAAAGCUAUCGUUAAAAUUCCUACCUUAAAGUCGUGUUCUCCAGACUCAAUGUUUGAGAUGUUCGCUGUGUUAAUAAGGAAAUUAAAACGCGCUCACGUCCUGCCAACAGUUUGCAAAGUCAUUAAACGUGCAAAGGCGCAAAAUGAUAAAUCCGGCUUCUUUUGGAGGCUUUGUUACAAACCGGACACAGUUCAAAGCAGGUGGGAAACAUAAGUAACCUCCUCGAUCAUUCUCGUUGUUGUCGGAUAACCUGCCUCUCUCAGCCACAGCUCUCCGGCGCUGCCGGUCGCUUCCCAGAUUCACACUCCCUAACUUCAGGAUAUUAUUAUGCUGUGAUUUCACCCGGAAACACAAAGUUCUCAACACCCUCCCACAGCAAUUGUCAGCCUCCGAAAAAUGCUAAAGACCUUCUUUUUACUGAAGUUUGUCCGUCGCUGAGUACAUCGGAAAAAGAGACUCCGAAAACUGAAUGUUCUUGGAGCUCCCCCUGGCUGUACGAACACUUUCACAAGACGGCAGUGAAGAUGUAAUGGUUAGGAGGGAAGAGGUCGUUUAACAAUACAAAAAAAAAACUGUGUGGCAGUCUCGCCUUGGUUUAUUCUGACUGGCAAAAGAUGAGCUGGUGUGUGCAGGGAACUAGCAACUAAAAGAAACUUCGUAAAUAAUUCGUUGAUGAAAACACAAGCUGACGUCGAAUAGCUCCCCUUUACCUUUUCUGUAUUUAAGAUACUCAAUGACCGUGUGUUAACAAUUGUGGAAAAUGUGUUAGAGGUAUUAAUAUUUUCUCUUAUGAAUGUUUUAAUGAUUUUUUAAUAAAAUGAUCUUCG